GGGGCCGUAAAGGUUUCGACGGGGAUAGUGAAGCUGGAGUAGCGAGCCGAUGUGUCGGACAUCGUAAAAAACGGCAACUAAAUAUAAACGCAAAAGAAAACAGAAGUUACGGAAUGGCUUUAGCUGCUUAAUUGCAGUUAAGUCAAACUGAACUCAACCGCGGCACCUAAUUGCCGCACGCCCCUUUCCAAGACCUGCGCUGGUAAGCUUGGCGUUCAUAACUAGCAGGGAACCGCUACUGGGCAUUGCCUCGUCCCUUUAGCGACUAAGAGGCUGGCUCCAAACACCUCGGUCAUCGGAAGGUGCCUGGAGUAAGAUUAAUCCGAUGGCUGCGCUCGGAGAAGCUUCAGUGAAUUUGUUUUCGGACGUGGGUUCGACUCCCACCGGCUCCACCA
rnacentral:tmRNA from 1 species